UCUAAGUGGUAGCCAGCGUCCGUGGGAAUACGGAAGGGCUGGGCUGUGUCUGUAUUUAUUGGGGUUAAAGGGAGCGUAGGCUGCCGGUUAAGUGUGUUGUGAAAUGCAGGCGCUCAACGUGUGACUUGCAGGGCAUACUGUCCGGCUUGAGUACACACAACGUUGGCGGAAUUCGUCGUGUAGCGGUGAAAUGCUUAGAUAUGACGAAGAACUCCGAUUGCGAAGGCAGCUGACGGGAGCGUUACUGACGCUGAAGCUCGAAAGUGCGGGUAUCGAACAGGAUUAGAUACCCCAGUAGUC
rnacentral:rRNA from 1 species